GAGGCUCAGCGCGGACUCCUCCGCGGACAGCGGGUGACAGAUGUCCUGCAGGGAUUUCUGCCCGGAGGACGCCAGUGGUUUCGAGGUGCCGGUGCUCAUCGCGCUGCUGAUGUUUGAUCACGCAGGUUACCAGAGCCUGCCAGAUCCAACUCCGCUCCUGCUUGGUGUCGGACUCCACUUGCUAAGUGUCGCUGAGAGAUGGCGACAAACUAGUCCCAUAUGUCUCAGUUCCCCCAGCUUAGAAUUCACUGCAAUCCCCAAAGCUCCUCUGGACACAUUGGGAAACCUCUUCUUCACUGCCACUUUUUUGGACUUCAGAGGAUGAACUGAUGCCAACUCCAACUGUAAGACAUCGGAUACUUCAUAUGCCACUGCCUGAACCUUGGACUUAGGAUGGACCCCACCGAACCUCACCGAAAUGACCUGCUGGUUGAACUGCGAUGCACCUCAUCAUUAUCUCUGCCUGCAUCACCUUUGUCUAUUGAUGGACUUCACUCUUGAAAUGGAAUACAUAAUUAAAAAAUUUAAAACCAUGACUUGCACUGCACAUAAAUAACUAAUACUGGCAUGACAUUCAUGUUGUUUAGCCAGAGGGGAACUGGCCCCCACAGUGAUCCUGGUUUCUCCUAAGGUUAUUUUUCUCCAUUAACCAACAUCUUAUGGAGUUUUGUGUUCCUUGCCACAGUAGCCUUCAGCUUGCUCACAGGGGUUCUAAAUACAAUUAUUAUUUAAUUAUUUAAUUUCUAUACACAUUUUACAAUCAUAUUUAAUUAAACUACACAAUGAUCACUGUAAGACAUUUUUACAGUAAAUGUUUUUUUUUUUUUUUAUGCAUGAUUUCCUGUAAAGCUCUUUUGAAAUGAUGUGUGUUGUGAAAAGCGCUAUACAA